GCGGCUAUGGCGAAACUGGCAGACGCGCAGGAUUUAGGAUCCUGUCCCGAAAGGGGUGGGGGUUCGACUCCCUCUAGCCGCA
rnacentral:tRNA from 1 species